rnacentral:rRNA from 1 species
CGGAUUGGCAUGGGGGAAACCCUGACCCAGCAACGCCGCGUGAAGGAAGAAGGCCUUCGGGUUGUAAACUUCUUUUACCAGGGACGAAGAACGUGACGGUACCUGGAGAAAAAGCCACGGCUAACUACGUGCCAGCAGCCGCGGUGAUACGUAGGUGGCAAGCGUUGUCCGGAUUUACUGGGUGUAAAGGGCGUGUAGGCGGAGAUGCAAGUUGGGAGUGAAAUCCCGGGGCUCAACCCCGGAACUGCUUUCAAAACCGCAUCCCUUGAGUGUCGGAGAGGCAAGCGGAAUUCCUAGUGUAGCGGUGAAAUGCGUAGAUAUUAGGAGGAACACCAGUGGCGAAGGCGGCUUGCUGGACGAUAACUGACGCUGAGGCGCGAAAGCGUGGGGAGCAAACAGGAUUAGAUAC